CUCGUAAACCCUCGUCAUUUGCGAACAAACCUUGCGACUUAAUCGGUCGCAAGCUGAUUGUAGCGAAAGAGGAAGGGACGGCUAACUCUGUGC
rnacentral:rRNA from 1 species